rnacentral:rRNA from 1 species
UACGUAGGGUGCAAGCGUUGUCCGGAAUUAUUGGGCGUAAAGAGCUCGUAGGCGGUCUGUCGCGUCGGAUGUGAAAAUCCAGGGCUCAACCCUGGACCUGCAUUCGAUACGGGCAGACUAGAGUUCGGUAGGGGAGACUGGAAUUCCUGGUGUAGCGGUGGAAUGCGCAGAUAUCAGGAGGAACACCGGUGGCGAAGGCGGGUCUCUGGGCCGAUACUGACGCUGAGGAGCGAAAGCGUGGGGAGCGAACAGG